rnacentral:rRNA from 1 species
UAAAGGCCUCCCAAGGCUUCGAUCGGUAGCUGGUCUGAGAGGACGAUCAGCCACACUGUUUUUGAAAACAGUUCAGACUCCUACGGGGGCAGCAGUGAGGAAUUUUCCGCAAUGGAGGCAACUCUGACGGAGCAACGCCGCGUGCAGGACGAAGGUUUUCGGAUCGUAAACUGCUUUUCUCGGGGACGAGCAAGGACGGUACCCGAGGAAGAAGCCCCUGCUAACUACGUGCCAGCAGCCGCGGUAAUACGUAGGGGGCAAGCGUUGUCCGGAUUUAUUGGGCGUAAAGCGCACGCAGGCGGUGCGGUAAGUUUGGGGUGACAGCGUUCGGCUUAACCGGGCGAGUGUCCCAAAGACUGCCGCACUUGAGGGCCAAAGAGGAACACAGAAUUCCGGGUGUAGUGGUGAAAUG